AAUCAAAUAAGAUGACUAAAAAUGGAAAAGAUAGUCUCGAUCUCAGACACAGCCUACCAUUUUUGGAUACAGUUUUUGAGCCAUGAAAUUAUAUAUGCCAGUUAUAUACAUUCAAAAUCAGGAAGAAAAAGGAAAACAAAGGGGAGAACGUAGGAUAUAAAUUGUUUAUAAGGAGAAACCAAUCAAACCAUGGCCGACUUCACUUGAAACCUCCUUCAUCCAACCUCGUUGUUAGCAUUCAUUUUUCCAGGGAAGUGGCAAAAACCUCCCUCAUCCUUUGUUAAAUGCAAUGUGGGAUCAUCUUGGGAUGAGAGUUCAAAAAUCGGAGGGGGUGCUUGUAUUGUACGUGAUGAGAAAGGUUGGUUUUGUUCCACAGCAGAAGGUCUUUUUCUCAAACUGAAUCUUCCUCCCAAGCUAACUUGGUAGCACAGUGGGCUGCAGCAGCCAUGUGCGACCUCAAGCUUUAAAAGGUAAUUAUGGAGUUCUCGUCUUCAGGGACCUUAACUCCAUAUACCCCAUACCCUCCUAAACUCAAGCUUAUUACUCCAACCCUAUUCAUCCCACCCCUUUAUUGUUGCACUCCCUAAACUAGCCUUUGUCCAUUUAUUCCUCAAUUAAAAACCAACCACAAUUCAACUACCUACAUGGCCCACAUCCUAACCUUAACCAAUCAAAAUUAUUUGGUCCACAUGUUCUUCUUCUUCCUCGUACUGUAUCCUCCUCUUCAUCCUCCAUUGGUGAUUUUGGAAGCUCAUAUAGAAGGAAAAUGCAAAAUCCGCAGUGCACAUUCAUUUUUUUUUAUUAUGGGGGAUAUUAUAUGAAAGAUGGGGCUGAAAUAAAAUGGAUCUCAGGAGAUGGUGAAGGAGAAGAUGAAAUUCACACGAUUUUGUUUAGGAAGUCAAUGGAGGAGAUCACUUACUCUGGUUUGGUUGAGUGUAUUUGCAGAAAGAUAAAGGUAGAUGAAUCUAAGGUGAAAGUGAAGAUUAGUUACUUUCCAAUGGUAUUGUAUUCGUACAAGCCAUCAUACAUCCGGAAUGAUGACGAAAUCUUUGGUUAUCUACUGCAAGUAAACCAUGAGAAGUGUAGAAGUGUUCUACAUGUGGAGUUCAUCAAUGAAGAAGUGAAAUUUUCAGAAGAGGAUGAUGAAAUUGAUGGCUAUGUCGGUCUAUCUGAUAGAGAGGCUAUAGAGGCUGGUGAUGAGGAUGGUACUGAGAAUGAUGAAACUGAUGCCUAUGUUGGUAUAUCUGAUAGAGAGACUAUAGAGGCUGGCGAUGAAGAUGGUAAUGGUGGUGUGCUCACUUUUGACGAAGACAUUGAGAUGCAUGAUGGUGUCAAUCAGACACGGGAUGAUGGUAUGGAUUUG